rnacentral:rRNA from 1 species
CUACCACAUCCAAGGAAGGCAGCAGGCGCGCAAAUUACCCACUCCCGGAACGGGGAGGUAGUGACGAAAAAUAACAAUACGGGACUCUUUUGAGACCCCGUAAUUGGAAUGAGUACACUCCAAACCCUUUAACGAGGACCCAUCAGAGGGCAAGUCUGGUGCCAGCCGCCGCGGUAAUUCCAGCUCUGAUAGCGUAUAUUAAAGUUGUUGCGGUUAAAAAGCUCGUAGUUGGAUCUCAGUUCCCGACGGGCGGUCCGCCUACCGGCGGUCACUGCCCGGUCGGAACAACACGGCCGGUUUCCCCCGAUGAUCUUCACCGGUUGUCUCGGGUGACCGGCAAGUUUACUUUGAAAAAAUUAGAGUGCUCAACGCAGGCGCGACGCCUGGAUAAUGGUGCAUGGAAUAAUGGAAUAGGACCUCGGUUCUAUUUUGUUGGUUUUCGGAACACGAGGUAAUGAUUAAGAGGGACAGACGGGGGCAUUCGUAUUGCGACGCUAGAGGUGAAAUUCUUGGACCGUCGCAAGACGAACUACUGCGAAAGCAUUUGCCAAGAAUGUUUCCAUUAAUCAAGAACGAAAGUUAGAGGUUCGAAGGCGAUCAGAUACCGCCCUAGUUCUAACCAUAAACGAUGCCAGCCAGCGAUCCGGCUGCGUUCCUCAAAUGACGCGCCGGGCAGCUUCCGGGAAACCAAAGCCUUUGGGUUCCGGGGGAAGUAUGGUU